rnacentral:rRNA from 1 species
AUGGCUUGGCUGAGGUGGGACAAACUAAGGCUGCCUAAGAGUAAGGGUGGCAUGGGCUUCAGAGACAUGCGUGCGUUUAACCAAGCUAUGCUAGCAAAGCAUACUUGGAUAUUAUUAGAGUUCCCUGAUAGUCUUUUGCUCGACUAUUAAUUAAAAGCUAGGUACUAUCCUCCCGGCAGUCUAUUGGAUACAGUUUUUACUGGAAAUUCGUCUAUGGUUUGGAAAGGUAUUGUCCAUGGACUAGAGCUGUUGAAGAGGGGAACUAUAUGGAGAAUUGGGGAUGGUAAUUCGGUGACAACAUGGAGAGAUCCAUGGAUCCCUCGACGGUAUGACUUUCGUCCUAUUACCCCUGAGAGGAACUGCCAGUUUAACCGAGUGUUGGAUUUCUUGGGCACCAAUGGAGCCUGGAUUGUGGAUCGGAUCCACGAACACUUUUGGCCGAUGGAUGUUGUAGAAAUGCUGAAAAUUCGUACUUCUCCAAGAAACAUGCAGGACUUCAUUGGCUGGUAUCCCGAGCCUCGUGGUAAUUUUACGGUCAAGUCGGCGUACAAGCUAGCUACUGAUUGUCAUGACGAUAUUCACGCUGCGGGUGCUAGUAGCAGUAGACCGGAUGGCAAUCGGACAAUAUGGAAUUCUAUUUGGAAAUCUCAGGUCCCGCAAAUCCUAUCAAAUUGCCCAGUACACAAUAGGGACAUGGUGAUUAUGAUCAUUUGGCGAAUACGGCAGCUGCGUAAUGAUAUUACUCAUGGAAAGGGUGAGACCCCGGUUCAAGCUACUGUUAUUACUUGGAUAGCUAUUACAAGUCGCUUCAUUUGGCAAGAAAAUUAG